GGCGGGAUAGCUCAGCUGGUUAGAGCGUCGGAAUCAUAAUCCGUAGGUCGUGGGUUCGAGUCCCUCUCCCGCUA
rnacentral:tRNA from 1 species